GAAUGUUUUGUUUUGUUCCUUGAACAUCAUUCAUUUUCUUGAUGACCAGGGUGCAUUUGGCUGAUCUGGCUGGCUAGACGGUGUGUCCCUGUCCUUCCUAACACUCCAAGUGUGCACCCCCGCUUAGCCUUCCCUUUAAAGGACUGUUCUUUAUUCAUGGUCAUCUGAGUAGCUGUACUUCCCUGCUAGAACGCCCAAGCAAAGUCUCAAAUGUCAGGGUGGCUCCCUAGAUUUUCUACUUUUCAAAUUUCAAUGUGAUUCAGUUUGUU
rnacentral:snRNA from 1 species